GUGUCGAAUUUCGUGUCCUAGGUUCAGUUGGUGUCGCACUGGAUGUCCGAAAGGUUCAAACGUUGUGUUCGCUGCCGUUCGGGACGUGGAUCUCUCGUGACGUUUGUUUCGGUUGUUGGCGCGAAUUGUUCCCUACCUAUUGAAGCUUAUAGGUAAUGGUGCUCGGGCCGGUAUCUCAAGUGUUGGCAUUGCGUGUGGUUGUGGAUGAUCUAGUGGGAUAUAGCCAAGCCCUAGUUUGGUCGGAUUUUGGAAUUACCCCUUCGAGUGAUAGCUUUGGACAACGCACGUGACUUGUCGGGGCUAUUUUUACACAUUCACUACCACGGCCACUAAUGAUGAUUACUCUUGCAUGACAAUGGAACCGUACGUCACCACCAGCACCUAGAGUCUCGAUUUCCUUCGGCAUUUGGCGUCGUUUGUUUCGACCCAAGUGAAGAUAACCACCCAGGAUACUUGUCCACCGUAGAAGUGGUAGUGCCUACGGGAGGACACGCUUGCAAGGGGCAAAGAAUCAGCAGCAGCAGCACAAAAAAAGCCUACUACAUCUCAUACUGAAUGGGAAUUGCUUUUGCCACCGCCGCCGUCUAGUACUAACUGCAUAGAGUGCUCUUCAGAAUCUUUCUGGAUCAAGUGUCGUUCCCCUUUACUCAACAUCAAGUCAUGUAGAUGAAGAAAAAACCUGCAUCUGGCGAGUCCUCUUGCGUCACUGGAAUAAAUAACAUCUCCUAGACCCAGUCGAGGAAGACGAAGAAAAAGAAGAAGAAAGUGCAAGUGCUGACCUCGGAACGGCAUUUCCAUUAUCCCGAAUGAAGUAACGGCGAAAGUGCAAUGCAGGUCUCGGGAAAAUUGCUUGGAUUCGUUUCAGAACUGGCGGUGUGAAAAAUUGAACCGUGACAGCUCCGGCUGUGUGUGUGAAUGUUUUUUCUUCCGCCCGCGGGAGGUGUUUGUUUAUUGUUCGAAAACUGUGUGGAUUAACUGUUAUUUCGGCUGCUAAUGAAAACAACGAUAAAUCGGGAAUCCAGCCGAGCGGGAGAGAGUGCAAAUCUUCGAGUGGUCCAUCCAAGCCAUCCAGAAGGGGGCGCUGAAAGAGCAGAUAUCGGUCGUUGCCCACCAGAAGUACCAGAAAAGGCGUAGUGUCGUGAAUUUUGAGCUCGAGAAAAAGCUCACUAAUUGAGCACAUCGCUUUCACCCACCAUCCACUAGCUAACCUUUUCAUCGCUAGGAAUCCUUGAAGUGUUGGUGCAAGGGCAAUAAU